GCUGGGCGUGGUGGCAUGUGCCUGUAGUCCUAGCUACUCGGGAGGCUGAGGUGGGAGGAUUGCUUGAGCCCAGGAGUUCUGGGCUGCAGUGCGCUAUGCCGAUCGGGUGUCCGCACUAAGUUCGGCAUCAAUUUGGUGACCUCCCGGGAGUAGGGGACCACCAGGUUGCCUAAGGUGAACGGCCCAGGUCGGAAACGGAGCAGGUAAAAACUUCUGUGCUGAUCAGUAGUGGGAUCGCGCCUGUGAAUAGCCACUGCACUCCAGCCUGGGCAACAUAGCGAGACCCGUCUCU
rnacentral:SRP_RNA from 1 species